rnacentral:rRNA from 1 species
AAACUGGAGAGUUUGAUCCUGGCUCAGAACGAACGCUGGCGGCGUGCCUAACACAUGCAAGUCGAACGUGAUUGAGGGGCUUGCUCCUCAUGAAAGUGGCGCACGGGUGAGUAACGCGUAGAUAAUCUGCCUGGUGAUUUGGGAUAACACUUCGAAAGGGGUGCUAAUACCGGAUAAGCCCACGGAGUCCUCGGACUCUGCGGGAAAAGGAGGGGACCUUCGGGCCUUCCGUCAUCAGAUGAGUCUGCGUACCAUUAGCUAGUUGGUAGGGUAAAGGCCUACCAAGGCGACGAUGGUUAGCUGGUCUGAGAGGAUGAUCAGCCACACUGGAACUGAGACACGGUCCAGACUCCUACGGGAGGCAGCAGUGGGGAAUUUUGCGCAAUGGGGGAAACCCUGACGCAGCAACGCC